UGUAAUUGUGAGUCACUGUAU
rnacentral:piRNA from 1 species